CCUACGGGUGGCAGCAGUGAGGAAUAUUGGUCAAUGGACGAGAGUCUGAACCAGCGAAGUCGCGUGAAGGAUGACUGCCCUAUGGGUUGUAAACUUCUUUUAUAUGGGAAUAAAUUGUUCCACGUGUGGGAUUUUGUAUGUACCAUAUGAAUAAGGAUCGGCUAACUCCGUGCCAGCAGCCGCGGUAAUCCGGAGGAUCCGAGCGUUAGCCGGAUUUAUUGGGUGUAAAGGGAGCGUAGGUGGAUUGGUAAGUCAGUUGUGAAAGUUUGCGGCUCAACCGUAAGAUUGCAGUUGAAACUGGCAGUCUUGAGUACAGGAGAGGUGGGCGGAAUUCGUGGUGUAGCGGUGAAAUGCUUAGAUAUCACGAAGAACACCGAUGGCGAAGGCAGUUCACUGGACUGCAACUGACACUGAGGCUCGAAAGUGUGGGUAGCGAACAGGAUUAGAUACCCGGGUAGUC
rnacentral:rRNA from 1 species